UACAGUAGUGACAGUGUACAGUAUAUGCUGUCAGUGGAAAUAAGUGAUUUGAUUAUGCUUAUUAUGCAGUUCUCGGCUCUGCUGCAUUAGCUAGGACACUUUACCUCUUUGUCUGUCAAACAAUAUUUCAAUUGGUUAAAACAGGCAACACGAGAGAUUUAACAGUGUAACAUGGGGGAAGAUUGUGUCUCUGUAUGCUGUGGCCGGAGCUCUAGCUGUGGACUGUGUUCGGCACGGCCAUCCAGCAAUGGUGCACACCAUUGUCGACUGCAUGGGCGAGUUUGUUCGCAAGAGCCUUGUGUCGUGGUUAAAGAGGAGAGGAGGCUGG